AUUGACCGCUGGCGGCAGGCUUAACACAUGCAAGUCGAACGAGUGGCGGACGGGUGAGUAAUGCUUGGGAAUCUAGCUUAUGGAGGGGGAUAACUACGGGAAACUGUAGCUAAUACCGCGUACCAUAGGAUGAGCCCAAGGGGGAUUAGGUAGUUGGUGAGGUAAAGGCUCACCAAGCCGACGAUCGCUAGCUGGUCUGAGAGGAUGACCAGCCACACUGGGACUGAGACACGGCCCAGACUCCGACGGGAGGCAGCAGUGGGGAAUAUUGCGCAAUGGGGGCAACCUGACGCAGCCAUGCCGCGUGAAUGAAGAAGGUUUUCGGGUUGUAAAGUUCUUUUGGUAGAGAGGCGUUAACUACAGAAGAAGCACCGGCUAACUCCGUGCCAGCAGCCGCGGUAAUAC
rnacentral:rRNA from 1 species